UGCAUGAAGCCUUCUUCUUUUGGAAUAACUCUUGUCCAAGAGCCAGCUCCACUGACUGAAGGUGAUCAUCGGAGUUUCUCCAGAUGUAAUGUACCUGGGCACUGGUGACCUUCACUACCUGAGAUCAUAUCUCAUUAAACUGGUAACAUACCAGUUGGUUCUGAGAAGGUGAGGGGCUCUAGAUGGAGCCUGGAGCUGAGUGAGAGCCUACAGUUCUCAGGAUGAGGUCUUCAGAGAUGCAGCAUAUGAAAUACCUGGGAAGAUUUGUGGGUUAGGGAUUUGGAGAGGGCACAAAAGAAACAGAGGAGCCGGCUCGACGGUUCUGCAAGGUCUGGGAUACCACAAGGGAGACGUGUUAGGAUUUCCAAUGGGAGUGCGAACACGUGGUCUCUGUGAACAGCCAAGCUACCUCUCAGUGGGCUGAUUCAGGCUUCAUGCAAGGAUUCUUCAGCCAAGCCAGCCAGUCAUACUUAGAUAGUAUGACUAUGUAAGUAUGACUUCUGCCAUUCCUUACUGCAUUAAGCAUUCUCAAACCCUCUCUAAUUCUCAAUGUGGGGAAUGCCAAAAUAAUCUGCAGGCAUUCAAAAACUGCCAUGAAAAAAUAUGGUCCUGCAUCUAUCUAGCACUUGGGAGAGCACAGGAUACAUAGGCUACCUCUGGGGAAAGGGGCAGAUGAUUGCCAGAAGAAGUGACUGAGAUUUUUCAUAGGGAUGGAUGCUUGGUGGGCUCACACUUGCUUAGAGAAUACAUCAUUACACUUGAACAGCUAACACAUAGGCUAUGCGCCAGUUCUAAAUUAUAUAUAAGCAUAGCUUUAUAGUAUUUAUGUCAGUGAUGGCCCACAUCUGUGAUGGAGUCCCUUAAGAAUGCAAUGUGGUUCAAAGGUUCCCAUCACUAGUGAUGUCAUAGUUUUGUGCCUUACUACAAUGUAUUACACAUGUGUUUGAAGCAACGCAAGCAAACCUACUGUCCCAUUAAAAGUAUAGCAAAUACGA